rnacentral:misc_RNA from 1 species
UCCGGCUUAACGCCGGCAGUCCCCCCAGAGUCCCCGGCCGAACCGCUGGCAACUGGGAGCGAGAGUUGCGCUCGUUGCGGGACUUAACCCAACAUCUCACGACACGAGCUGACGACAGCCAUGCACCACCUGUAUACCGACUAAAAGGGCACCCAUCUCUGGAUGUUUCCGGCAUAUGUCAAACCCAGGUAAGGUUCUUCGCGUUGCAUCGAAUUAAUCCACAUAAUCCACCGCUUGUGCGGGUCCCCGUCAAUUCCUUUGAGUUUUAACCUUGCGGCCGUACUCCCCAGGCGGUCAACUUCACGCGUUAGCUUCGUUACCAAGGAAUUGCUUCCCCGACAACCAGUUGACAUAGUUUAGGGCGUGGACUAC